UUUCUUUCUUUCCAAUCCAUUUUGCAUUGAUUUUUUUUUCAUACUUUUCAUUUUCAUUUCACCUCUUUUGUUUUGUUUCGUUGAUGGUGAUGAUACUUGUUGAAGAAAGACAGCGUAACCAUUAUUACCUCAAUCCUCCUAAAUGAUGAUAAUGAUAGUUUGAUAUUUUCAGCAUAAUUUGUUAUUGUUGUUCUUUCGAAAUAAAAAUCAUUAAAUUUUUCCUAGCAACUUUUGAUAUAUUAAUUCUGUUGUUGUUUUUGUUGUUGUUGAAACCAAUAAUUAAACCCAACGCGAUGAUCCAUCAUUAAAUCUAUCUAUGGUGAGUUUGUCCAUAGCAUGAUGAUGAUCAUUGGAAACAAAUGAUGAUGAUGGUCAAAUAAUGAACAACAACAACAACAGAUUCGGUUGAAAGAAUCCCAUUUAUUUUCGUGAAUCGUUUUUGGAUUGCUUUUGAAUUGUGAAAUAAAAUCAUUCAUCAUUCAAUGACAGAUAUUUCUUUCAACAUCAAUUUGAUUUUGCACCAAAUUUUUCAUCUAUUAAUUCAUCCAAACAAAAAAAAAUCUAUCUGCAACAAGGUCAUCAAUAUUUUU